AGAGUUUGAUCCUGGCUCAGAUUGAACGCUGGCGGCAGGCCUAACACAUGCAAGUCGAGCGGUAGCACAGAGAGCUUGCUCUCGGGUGACGAGCGGCGGACGGGUGAGUAAUGUCUGGGAAACUGCCUGAUGGAGGGGGAUAACUACUGGAAACGGUAGCUAAUACCGCAUAACGUCGCAAGACCAAAGUGGGGGACCUUCGGGCCUCAUGCCAUCAGAUGUGCCCAGAUGGGAUUAGCUAGUAGGUGGGGUAAUGGCUCACCUAGGCGACGAUCCCUAGCUGGUCUGAGAGGAUGACCAGCCACACUGGAACUGAGACACGGUCCAGACUCCUACGGGAGGCAGCAGUGGGGAAUAUUGCACAAUGGGCGCAAGCCUGAUGCAGCCAUGCCGCGUGUGUGAAGAAGGCCUUCGGGUUGUAAAGCACUUUCAGCGGGGAGGAAGGCGAUAAGGUUAAUAACCUUGUCGAUUGACGUUACCCGCAGAAGAAGCACCGGCUAACUCCGUGCCAGCAGCCGCGGUAAUACGGAGGGUGCAAGCGUUAAUCGGAAUUACUGGGCGUAAAGCGCACGCAGGCGGUCUGUCAAGUCGGAUGUGAAAUCCCCGGGCUUAACCUGGGAACUGCAUUCGAAACUGGCAGGCUAGAGUCUUGUAGAGGGGGGUAGAAUUCCAGGUGUAGCGGUGAAAUGCGUAGAGAUCUGGAGGAAUACCGGUGGCGAAGGCGGCCCCCUGGACAAAGACUGACGCUCAGGUGCGAAAGCGUGGGGAGCAAACAGGAUUAGAUACCCUGGUAGUCCACGCCGUAAACGAUGUCGAUUUGGAGGUUGUGCCCUUGAGGCGUGGCUUCCGGAGCUAACGCGUUAAAUCGACCGCCUGGGGAGUACGGCCGCAAGGUUAAAACUCAAAUGAAUUGACGGGGGCCCGCACAAGCGGUGGAGCAUGUGGUUUAAUUCGAUGCAACGCGAAGAACCUUACCUGGUCUUGACAUCCACAGAACUUUCCAGAGAUGGAUUGGUGCCUUCGGGAACUGUGAGACAGGUGCUGCAUGGCUGUCGUCAGCUCGUGUUGUGAAAUGUUGGGUUAAGUCCCGCAACGAGCGCAACCCUUAUCCUUUGUUGCCAGCGGUCCGGCCGGGAACUCAAAGGAGACUGCCAGUGAUAAACUGGAGGAAGGUGGGGAUGACGUCAAGUCAUCAUGGCCCUUACGACCAGGGCUACACACGUGCUACAAUGGCAUAUACAAAGAGAAGCGACCUCGCGAGAGCAAGCGGACCUCAUAAAGUAUGUCGUAGUCCGGAUUGGAGUCUGCAACUCGACUCCAUGAAGUCGGAAUCGCUAGUAAUCGUAGAUCAGAAUGCUACGGUGAAUACGUUCCCGGGCCUUGUACACACCGCCCGUCACACCAUGGGAGUGGGUUGCA
rnacentral:rRNA from 1 species